rnacentral:rRNA from 1 species
AUGGACGCAACAGAAGCUUGCCCUGGUGCUGGCCUGCCACGACCAUCCGAGUUUGACUUCAUGUUCACCGACGAGGGGUGGGCCUUGCUGUCCGAGGAGACACGCCGUUCAAUUAUAGGAGUUCUGGAUGAGGACAGAGAAGAGAAGACCCGCCUCCAAGAGCGCCGUCAAUCCCGAUCCCGGAAGGACCGCCGCAAGGAUCCUCGGCCAGACAAACAGAUACAACCUAGUAAGAGCCUCGACCCUAACCUGUCGAGGGAUAAUGGUGGUUAUCUAAGUCUGAGCUACCCUGCACGGGGCAUAUCUGCAAUGGGCUGCCUGAUUGAAAUUGAUAUAAAGAUCAAGGGCAAGGAUGUUGACAAAGAUUUGUCGAUUAUUGAUGGAUCUGUGAAAGCCUUUGGGCAGUUUGACUCGAGGACUGCUAACCAUGUUGAUAACGUCAAUGGUAAAAUUAUAUUCAAGACAUAUGUUGUUCGUAAAGGUGUCGAGGCAACUAUAGACCUCGAGUUUGUGGAGGUGCCAAUAGGCGGCUUCAAUGUGCGGAUGCGUGGUAAAACUGUCCGUGGUAAAGCUGUUUACUCCUUUAUCACUGAGUGUUGUGAUGAUGACAGUUUUAUAGCUUCACCUGGGAAGCAUAAUAAGAAGUUUGUAGCGGCUGUGAGCAUAGGUGAUACACUAUGUGUAGACUUCAUGGAGAAAAGGCGAGAAGCGCUCUCUUUUGUAUCAUCCAAGCACGGCAACGAGCAGCAACCUUACCGGUUCAGCAAUGGAGCUUUGGUCUUUGUUAAAGUCUAUUGGUCAACCAUCGUCGAGGGUUGA